UUCUGAAAAUGUUCCAAGUAAAACUGUGUUUGCAAAGGUGAAGAGGGGCUAUUUAUAGACUUUUGUGGCAGCGAAUUUGACGUCAGCGCUCUUUGAGCCUUUGAUCCUUUGUUUCAUCACAGGAUCACAUGACAGCUGUGCGUAAUUCUGCGCAUACUCAGAGAAUACCCAUUGUGACGCACGGUUUUGUUUUGAAUUUUUUUUUAAAUACCCUGAAAACAGUCCAAACAGUGUUUCCAACUUAGCGAUUUUGUCGCUAUAUUUAGGGAGUUUUCAAACCCCCCUUAGCCGUCGUUUUUUUUUUUUUUUCUAAAAAGCGACUUGCGACAAAUCUGGCGGCUUUUUCUGGUGUUAUUGGAGGCUUAUUUAUGACGACUUUUGACGUGAAAGCGCUUGUUGCUCUUACUCUCAACAAGCAGCGGGUGCUGCCGUGGGCACCUCGCUCGUGCCAAAGCGCUCACAGGCGGAGGAUAGUCCUCCUCCAGCCGCUGUCAGGGCAGGAGAUGUUCACGUGCGUCCAAACUGCAAAUGAAUCGC
ensembl:lncRNA